CCCGGGGCGCAGCAGUGGGGGAUAUUGCACAAUGGGGGGAACCCUGAUGCAGCGACGCCGCGUGGGUGAAGAAGCGUUUCGGCGCGUAAAGCCCUGUCAGCAGGGAAGAAGAUGACGGUACCUGACCAAGAAGCCCCGGCUAACUACGUGCCAGCAGCCGCGGUAAUACGUAGGGGGCAAGCGUUAUCCGGAUUUACUGGGUGUAAAGGGGGCGCAGACGGCGAUGCAAGCCAGGAGUGAAAGCCCGGGGCCCAACCCCGGGACUGCUCUUGGAACUGCGUGGCUGGAGUGCAGGAGGGGCAGGG
rnacentral:rRNA from 1 species